AUAAAGACGAUGAUCAGGGAAGAGUACAAUGUAUUCAACGUGUUAAGCGAUUCAGGGGCGGUGGAAGCCUGAAGACGUUCACAUUGGAAAAUCACCCUUUAGUUUUGCGCUGAAACAAAGUAAGCGGCAACGUUUCAUUCACGUUACGAAUUUCAAGUGGAAAGGAUUAGUCCUUUUCAACAGGGUGGUACCACGGGUAAGCUUCUCGUCCCUAUU
rnacentral:ncRNA from 1 species